rnacentral:tRNA from 1 species
GGGCAUUUGGUCUAGUUGGUUAUGACAUCGCCUUUACGAGGCGGAGAUCCCUGGUUCAAGUCCAGGAAUGCCCA